rnacentral:tRNA from 1 species
UUAAUUGAAGCCAAAAUAGAGGCUUAUCACUGUUAAUGAUAAAAUUGUAUUUAUAUACCAAUUAAA